GUUCAGUGACUGCAUAGCUGAGGAGGUAGGUGACAGAGCCAUGCUGCGGUCUAUUCUCCUUGUAGUGAUAUUGUCGUUGUUGGCAUUUCAACUUUGUCCAGCAUUUUCCUGUCUAUCAAGGGGCUUAGAGUGCAGCAAUGCUACAAAUGCUCCGGAACAUCUGAAAUGUUGUGAACACGUUGAGUGUCUGUACAUGUGGUCUACAAAGGAAAAUAUCUGCGUUUAAAAUCCGCCAUUAUGUUCUUGUAAUGCAGCGUAUCUGUAACUCAAAUUAAAUAUUGAUCUAAUAAACAUCAAAUGUGUGUGAAGAUGGUUUAUUAUAUCAUUCAGUAUAAAUAUUAAAUUGUUGGAAACAUAUUAUUGUAACGCUAUAUCUUUUUCCAGUGGUAGUACUACAACGGUACUAAAUUAGUUAAAUACCCUGUAAGAAAUGUAAAGGAUACGAAACGCUUAUAAUAACAACUUAUCAUUCUGAAUUAA